AAGCACCAGCUUGCUGGUGUGGAUGAGUGGCGAACGGGUGAGUAAUACGUGAGUAACCUGCCCUUGACUCUGGGAUAAGCCCGGGAAACUGGGUCUAAUACUGGAUGCUACAUGUCACCGCAUGGUGGUGUGUGGAAAGGGUUUACUGGUCUUGGAUGGGCUCACGGCCUAUCAGCUUGUUGGUGAGGUAAUGGCUCACCAAGGCGACGACGGGUAGCCGGCCUGAGAGGGUGACCGGCCACACUGGGACUGAGACACGGCCCAGACUCCUACGGGAGGCAGCAGUGGGGAAUAUUGCACAAUGGGCGAAAGCCUGAUGCAGCGACGCCGCGUGAGGGAUGACGGCCUUCGGGUUGUAAACCUCUUUCAGCAGGGAAGAAGCCACAAGUGACGGUACCUGCAGAAGAAGCGCCGGCUAACUACGUGCCAGCAGCCGCGGUAAUACGUAGGGCGCAAGCGUUGUCCGGAAUUAUUGGGCGUAAAGAGCUCGUAGGCGGUUUGUCGCGUCUGCUGUGAAAGCCCGGGGCUUAACCCCGGGUGUGCAGUGGGUACGGGCAGACUAGAGUGCAGUAGGGGAGACUGGAAUUCCUGGUGUAGCGGUGGAAUGCGCAGAUAUCAGGAGGAACACCGAUGGCGAAGGCAGGUCUCUGGGCUGUUACUGACGCUGAGGAGCGAAAGCAUGGGGAGCGAACAGGAUUAGAUACCCUGGUAGUCCAUGCCGUAAACGUUGGGCACUAGGUGUGGGGGACAUUCCACGUUUUCCGCGCCGUAGCUAACGCAUUAAGUGCCCCGCCUGGGGGAGUACGGGCCGCAAGGCUAAAACUCAAAGGAAUUGACGGGGGCCCGCACAAGCGGCGGAGCAUGCGGAUUAAUUCGAUGCAACGCGAAGAACCUUACCAAGGCUUGACAUAUACCGGAUCGUUCCAGAGAUGGUUCUUUCCCCUUUGGGGU
rnacentral:rRNA from 1 species